rnacentral:lncRNA from 1 species
GAUUGGGGUUUUGGUACUUAGAUGAAAGUAGUUAGACUUUGGGCUUUUAUUCAGGUAAUCAGGAUUAUAAUGCCACAGAUGCCUAACAAGUUGUAUGCAUGAUAUUAUAGAGCUCAACACUUGUAAAAAAACCGAUAGGCUCUCACUUUCUAGGUUUGUCUAUUGGCCAGAUAUAAGUGUCGAUCAGUGAUUCUAUAGGAAUAUCGAUCGAUACAUUUGUUGAACUGUCGACCAAUUAUUCGAUUACAAUAUCGAUCGACGUUUUGGCCAAGCUUUAACGUGCGGGUUGAAUGUACUCACUAAGCUUCCUAGAUCAGCUAUAGCCUUACUCUAGCAAUCUUAGCUCAAUUAGAAUGGAUUCAGG